GACGAACGCUGGCGGCGUGCCUAAUACAUGCAAGUAGGACGCAGUUGCGAACGGGUGAGUAAAGAGUAGGUAAAUACAUAUUAGAGGGGGAUAACUAUUGGAAACGAUAGCUAAUACCGCAUACUAGUAGAUGGACCUACGUUGUAUUAGGUAGUAGGUAGGGUAAUGGCCUACCUAGGCAACGAUACAUAGCCGAGCGGAGGAGGUGUACGGCCACACUGGGACUGAGACACUGCCCAGUCUCCGUCGGGAGGCAGCAGUUGGGAAACUUCGGCAAUGGGGGGCACCCUUACCGCGGAACGGCGGGGUAGUGAAGAAGGUUUUCGGAUUGUAAAGCUCUGUUGUUAAGGAAGCGGUACUCAACCAGAAAGGGACGGCUAACUACGUGCCAGCAGCCGCGGUAAUUC
rnacentral:rRNA from 1 species